GUAAGGAAUAUUGGUCAAUGGACGCAAGUCUGAACCAGCCAUGCCGCGUGGAGGAUGAAGGUCCUCUGGAUUGUAAACUUCUUUUAUCUGGGACGAAACACUUCUUUUCUAAGAGGCCUGACGGUACCAGAUGAAUAAGCACCGGCUAACUCCGUGCCAGCAGCCGCGGUAAUACGGAGGGUGCAAGCGUUAUCCGGAUUCACUGGGUUUAAAGGGUGCGUAGGUGGGUAUGUAAGUCAGUGGUGAAAUCCCCGAGCUUAACUUGGGAACUGCCAUUGAUACUAUAUAUCUUGAAUACCGUAGAGGUAAGCGGAAUAUGUCAUGUAGCGGUGAAAUGCUUAGAUAUGACAUGGAACACCAAUUGCGAAGGCAGCUUACUAUGCGGUGAUUGACACUGAGGCACGAAAGCGUGGGUAGCAAACA
rnacentral:rRNA from 1 species